rnacentral:lncRNA from 1 species
AAAAUUCAUCUCAUCAAUUAACUAACUAACUUUAAAUUGAAAAGAUCUUAAUUUUUAAUGACUGAGAAGAAAUGAAAAAGAAAAAAAAACCAAAAAACAUGCUGGUUAAAUAGCAAGCCCUUGUUACUCUAAAACUUUCUGGUAUGCAAGAGUACUUUAUAUAGCAUUAAUUAAGUAAUGUCUACUUAUAAUAAAAUGUAGAAAAUUGUAGUAUUCAUUAUAAAUACAAAGUAGCCCUAAAUUGAUUUACUAUAGUAUAUAUAAGCAUUUCAAAACAUUUUACUUUCUUUGUUUUUUGGGGGUGUGUUUUGCAUUUGUUACAAUAUCAAAUAUAACAAAGAAUAGUUGGGCACAAAGAGAUACUUUGGCAAAGCACCAAGAAUGUUUAGUGGAGUGCAAAGCAGCUAAUAUAUUUAUGGAUCUACUAAAUCCCUAUAAGUACCUUUAAAUUUUCUAUCAUGUUUUUCAAAAAGCAAAACAAACAAAUAAAAACCUUGAAGAAAUGAAAUCAUCAUGUGUAACUUGAAAUUCUACAGCCAGGAAUCUAUCUAAUGAGAGUAAACAAGACCAUCGCCUGUUACUAUGGCAGUCCCUGAAUACUACCACAGGUAAUGAAAUAUGUGACAGCUUCAAAAGGCAAAAUUAAAUUAAACAUCUCAGUGUUCUGACAAAAUAAAAGUCUAUCAAUAGCUAUGUCUCUUUUCUGACAAUGUACAAUUCGAUUGCUAAAAUAUAAGCCUGCUUCUGUGUCCUUGUUUGCAAAAGUGUUAUGCCUCUACCAAAGGACUUUGACUCUACAGUGGAAUUCAUUUCAGGCUUUUCUUUUCCCCUUUAUAUAAAGCAACCUGCCUGUAGAUCUUAAGGUUACAAUAAAGAAUGUUUGAAAAUAGUAAACGUCAUCACUGUUUAUUCUACCCCCUGGGCAAAAUGCUUGUCUACAAUCACAACCGACUCAUGUGUAUGUUGCUGCUGCUCUGACAUUCAAAUUUAAGACUUACACAUAAUAUUGAAAAGAAUAAUUUUCCUAUUCAUGUCAAAAGCUCUUGUUUAUAUUUGAAAAUCAUAUUUUUCUCCAUCAAAACCAGAAAAUAUCUGAAAGAAAAUCAAAUCACCAGGGCCUCAAAAUUUAAUCUUCUCUACUGACUAAGGGAAUUUGGAGGAAAUGGCUAAAGGAAGAGCCAAGAUGGGUUGGUUAGUUGAUAUUGUUCUUCCUGUGGGAUUGCAAUCCCCUUCAACUCCUUCAGUCCUUCCCCUAUCUUUUCCAUUGUGGUACCUGGUCUCAGUCAGAAGGUUGGAUGUGAGUAUCUGCGUCUGCAUUACUGUGCUGGCAGAGCCUCUCAGGGACAGGCAUAUAAGGCUCCUGCCAGCAAGCUCUUUUUGGCAUCAGCAAUAGUGUCUGGGUUUGGUGUCUGCAGAUAGGAUGGGUCCCUAGAUGGGGAGGUCUCUGGAUGACCUUUUGUUCAGCCUCUCCAUUUUUGUCAAUGCUUUUCCAUUAGACAGGAACAAUUCUGGGUUAAAAAUUGUGAGAUGUGUGGGUGACCCCAUCCCUCAACUUGCCUAUCUAUUUACUGGAGGUGGUCUCUAUAGGUUCUCUUCCAGGGACUACACCACCAACAAAAGAAUAUACAUGGAGGGAUUCAUGGUUCCAGCGACAUAUGUAGCAGAUGAUGGCCUUAAAUGGCAUCACUGAGAAGGGAGGCCCUUGGUCCUAUGGGGGCUUGAUGGCCCAGCAUAGAGGGAUGCUAGAAUAGUGAGGCAAGAGUGGGUGAAUGGGUGGAGGGGUACCCUCAUAGAGGCAAAGAAGAGACAGGAGAGAUGAGAAUGGGGGGGUUAUAGAGGGGAAACCAGGAAGGGGAUAUCAUUUAAAAUGUAAAUGAAUAAAAUGAUACUUUUAAAAAACAGUUAUUAAUUAGAGAAUGGGAAGGGGAAUGGGCACAGGAGCUGUUGGAAGGAGACUACCAGGGAGGGGGAGGGAAGAAAGUGAUGAAAUGCUCUUCCACUUAAAAACAUAAAAUAAAAAUAAAUAAAUAAAUAAAAAGCAACAGACAAACAAAAAGAGCCAAGAUGUGUUUGCUCUGUGCACUGAGGAGCUAAACUUCCUGCUGUUCUAUUAGCAGCAUAGAGACCUCUGUUUAAGAGUAAAUCUUGGUCAAUAUUGCCAAAGUUCAGAGAAGAGUAAAAUAUUCCUGCAAGCUCUGAGAUUCAGAAAGUUGGAAGAAAGAAGCUACCUGUCUCUUCAUUGUCUGUACCACAUAGUUAGUUUAUAAAUGUUACUCAAGAGAGGCUCCCCUUGCUUGGUUAUUUGUUGGUCAGUUUGAAGAAAGAAAAGCACAAAACAUUAUCAAAAACUUGAAUGAAGUACAAAUUUUCAGGGCUCCUCUUGGUAGAGCAACAAUUCCAUGUUCAGUAAAGAUCCACUUGUCUUAACAAGUGAUCCUUUUUUUAUAUAUUUUUUAUUACGUAUUUUCCUCAAUUACAUUUCCAAUGCUAUCCCAAAAGUCCCCCACACCCUCCCCACCCCACUCCCCUACCCACCCAUUCCCAUUUUUUAGCCCUGGCGUUCCCCUGUACUGGGGCAUAUGAAGUUUGCCUGUCCAAUGUAAUCCUGUUAUGUUUGAGAAUAUUUCAUUCCUAGAAAAAUGGAACUUUGACUUGAAUGUUUAAAUUUAUGGUGAAAUGGGAGAAUGCCUAUCCCAUAUUGAAUGCUAUCAGCCAAUCAGGUCUCAUUCAUUUCCCUGCAAGGGCUCUGAGAAGGACAUUAGAGAUGGCUGCCUCCUUGUUCAACCGAGGCUGUACAGUGAAGGGGGAUAGCUACCACUUGAAGCCACUUGCUGUGAGAAUCUGUGUGUCUAUCAGCUGUUCUUAAGCAGAGGCAACACACUUGUCAUUGGACAGUCUUUCCCCAGGGGUAGACUGGUCAUUGCCGAGAAAGCACAACUCUCAUCUCAUGAGGAAGAAUUGUUUGUAUUCUGCAUGCCCUUUCUGAAAAAGAACACUGGAAUCAAGUUCUGAUGCUUGUGAAUCUAAUCUGGUUUUUAGUAUUUAUUAUUAAUAGAUUAUUUAAUUGUUGCUGCCUUGUUUCUUCCCAAGUAAACAAUUAGAGACUAAGUAAUUUCCUUAUUUCUGUUUUGCAAUAUACUCAGACUCAUGGAAGUCCUUUUUUUGAUACUUAUUUUAACCAUUUGACUACUCCACCUGGAAAAUCCUAGUGAUUGCAUUGCAUAUUUCUUUAAGGCCUCAAUACAUGAUAGAACGGUGUAUUCAUAAGAAACCUAGGAUUAUCUGUUGAAUUUUGCUUCCUGUGAUAUAAUGCAUACAGGUAUAGUUCAAGAUAGUACUUGAAAGUAUUUAAAAGUUCUCUUAUUAGAUUCUACAUCAUAUUACCCACAUACCCUAAUUAUCUAAUAAGCAGUAUAUGGAAGCAAACCAGGUAUCUUGAUCCAAAUGAAAUCAAUUAACGUUCACUCACAACCAAGGAAAGGACCACGGCCAAAACCAUGGAUUCUGGUUGACCUAAGUCAGAAGCUACUUUGUGUUAGUUGUCACAGAGCUUCUAUAGUC